rnacentral:piRNA from 1 species
UCACAUUAAGAACAUUUCUAAUGCUGCCU